GCAUCAGUUUGGUUUGCUUGCAAACCAAAGCUGGCGACCGGCGCACGGGUGAGUAACACGUAUCCAACCUACCUCAUACUCGGGGAUAGCCUUUCGAAAGAAAGAUUAAUAUCCGAUAGCAUAUAUUUCCCGCAUGGGUUUUAUAUUAAAGAAAUUCGGUAUGAGAUGGGGAUGCGUUCCAUUAGUUUGUUGGGGGGGUAACGGCCCACCAAGACUACGAUGGAUAGGGGUUCUGAGAGGAAGGUCCCCCACAUUGGAACUGAGACACGGUCCAAACUCCUACGGGAGGCAGCAGUGAGGAAUAUUGGUCAAUGGACGCGAGUCUGAACCAGCCAAGUAGCGUGAAGGAUGACUGCCCUAUGGGUUGUAAACUUCUUUUAUAUGGGAAUAAAGUGGUCCACGUGUGGACUUUUGUAUGUACCAUAUGAAUAAGGAUCGGCUAACUCCGUGCCAGCAGCCACGGUAAUACGGAGGAUCCGAGCGUUAUCCGGAUUUAUUGGGUUUAAAGGGAGCGUAGGCGGAUUGUUAAGUCAGUUGUGAAAGUUUGCGGCUCAACCGUAAAAUUGCAGUUGAUACUGGCAGUCUUGAGUGCAGUAGAGGUGGGCGGAAUUCGUGGUGUAGCGGUGAAAUGCUUAGAUAUCACGAAGAACUCCGAUUGCGAAGGCAGCUCACUGGAGUGUAA
rnacentral:rRNA from 1 species